rnacentral:lncRNA from 1 species
AGAAGGUUGUGACAGUCUCAGUCAGACUUCUUAGAGGAAACAGGAGCCUGUCCCUUCUCCUCCAUGUCCAUACUAGCCUGCUGAAUCCUUUACUUACAGGAUCAGCUGAAUAUGUCUAGUUGACUCAAGGGUCUUUUUCUGCCUCCCUCUGUUACAGCUGUGUUACCUUUUUACAUAGCAAAGCAAAAAUAGAGACAGACAAAAUAUAAAUGCAAAUCUGAGUAGCCUAGGGAAUUGAUCAGAAAGUCUUAUCUGAUUCUUAGGUUUUUACAGAGAACUGGAAACUAUUUAUUAAAGUACUAGGAGGAGCUAUGAUAGAGAAUGAGGCUAGGAAGAAAACCAUAUUGUAUAUAUUGAAUUAAAGUUUGCCGUGUUUACAUUCAACAAUAUAUGGACAAGUAAGUGUGCACUGACACUGUUUUACCUGAUAAUAUGAGUUUUCAUGGGGUUGUGAGAG